CUUGAAGGAUGUCAGGUUCUGUGGGGAGAAGCAGGGCUCGGUGCCCUGUGUCCCCAGCUGGUGGUAAUUGGAGAGGCCGAACCCAUAGAUGUGUCCUUCCCGUGUGAUGGCAAAGGUGAAGUAAGCCCCACAGAAGGCAUCCUGGAAGCGCAUCUUGCCUUUGCCUCUGACAGGGACACGCUGGGGGACCAGCAGGCGCUGCAGCCCCUUCCGUCCUCCUCGGUUG
rnacentral:lncRNA from 1 species